GGAAGCAAGAUACUAAUGAACCAUGAGAACUAAAACAUAUCAGAUCUGUUGGCCAAAAGCCAUGAAGAAAGGGUUAACAAAGUCAAGGAUCCAAAUUUAAGCCACUCAGCUCAAGUUCCAAUCAAUCUACAGGCUGCCUAAGCAGAUGAAGUAAUUGCUCACAACCACAAGUAGCAAUCACAAAAACCUGGUAAAACAAUAGCACAUAAGUGGAUAGGUGUAUAAUUCUUCAUACAGUUGUUACACAGUGUAAGCCUAUAUCCUAUUCCUGAAUGUGUAGAGUGACAAUAAAUGUAACAAUUCAAGGCUAUAUCCUAUUCCUAAAUAUGUGGAGUGGCAAUAUAUGUAACAGUUCCACCACCCAGCCAGUUCAAAAAGAUAUUUUCCAGCCAAGGGGGGGUUUAGUAAUGGAAAACUAGGCAUGUUUUCCAGGAAAAUUACUCUAAGAAAAC
rnacentral:misc_RNA from 1 species